CAUACCCGUUGAGCAAUGUCAUAUCACCCGCUGAACUUAAGCAUAUCAGUAAGCAGAGGAGCUGCAUCCAACUUGGAUUUUGUAAGUAAUUGCGAAUGAUUGCAAACCAUGUCUACCAUUGUAAAUGUUGCAUGACAUGCGCAAUAAAUUGUAUGAUCAUGGCAUGCUGCUACCAAUGAGCACAUAGAUAUGUUUCUUUUUGAAACAGAGGAGCAUGGAAUGUGAGAGUCAUGCUUGUUUGCAAAACAUUGUGUACAGUGUGUGUCUUGAAAAUCACAUUCCUUGCCAAUGGAAUGCUAACAAACAUGGUAGUGUUCAUGAAGAAGCACAUGCUUUUGAGAUUCAUGAUGUGCAAGUACCAUGAGGGAAAUGUGAAAUGGACUUUGAAAAGAAAUUUAAAUAGAGCCCACAAUUGCUAUCCAWUUUGUGCAAGUGAAACUCAAUAUGACAAUGUUGAAUUUUUGAUUAGGAUUCCAUUUGUGAAUGAUGACACUGUUACCAACCAAUAUGGCUGCACCCUUGUAUAAAACUUCAAUGUGUGUACAUUGUUCUUGUGUUGGACAUGCUGGCAUGUUUGCAAUUCUGUGCAAUAUAUAAGUCUUGUCUGUGUGUGUCCUCAAUAUUAACACUUGAAAUGGUCCAACAGCAUGCGCUUUUUGUUGUUGAAUGUUUCCACUUGACCCG
rnacentral:rRNA from 1 species